rnacentral:rRNA from 1 species
AGUGAACGCUGGCGGUAGGCCUAACACAUGCAAGUCGAACGGCAGCAUAGUAAGUGCUUGCUCUUACGGGCGGCGAGUGGCGGAAGGGUGAGGAAUACAUCGGAAUAUACUUUUUCGUGGGGGCUAACGUAGGGAAACUUCCGCUAAUACAGCAUACGACCUACGGGUGUAAGCAGGGGUUGUUUGGGCCUUGUGCGAUUGUAUGAGCCGAUGUAGGCGUAGCUAGAUGGCGGGGUAAAGGCGAACCAAGGCUACGAUCGGUAGCUGGUCUGAGAGGGAGAUCACACACACUGGAACUGAGACACGGCCCAGACUCCUACGGUGAGCCACGGUGGGGAAUAUUAGACGAUGGGGGCGUGCCGGAUCCAGCCAUACCGGGUGGGUGAAGAAGCCCUUCGGGUGGUAGAGCCCUGUUGUUGGUAGAGAAGAGCAGCAGGUUAAUACCCCGCGAUACUGACGGUACCCAGAGAAUAAGCUCCGGCUAACUUCGUG